rnacentral:rRNA from 1 species
AAAAAAUUUAAUUUUGGUUUAAAAUUUAUUUAAUUUUUAAUUUAUAUGUAAAUUUUUGUAAAAAUAAAAUAAUUAUUUAAAAUGAAUAUAUUACAGUAAUUGGAUUUAAAAAUUAAUGAAAAUUAGAUUUAGUAAUUAAUGAUAUAAUAAAAGAAAUUUGUGCCAGCAUUUGCGGUUAUACAAAUUAUUUAAAUAAAUUUUAUUAGUAUUGAAUAAAAUUAUUUACAAUUAAAUUAAAAUUUAAUUAUAAAAGUGAAAUUUUUUAUUUUUAUUAGUUUAAUUAAAAAAUAAUUGAUUUUUGAAAUUUAAUUUUUAAACUAGGAUUAGAUACCCUAUUAUUUUAAAAGUAAAAUUUAUAUUAAGGGAUUAAUAGUUAUGAUCUUUAAAUUUAAAAAAUUUGGCGGUAUUUUAGUCUAUUUAGAGGAAUCUGUUCUAUAAUUGAUAGUCCACAAUAAAUUUUACUUAAUUUAUUAAUUAAUGUAUUGUCGUUAUCAAAAUAUUUUAAAAGAAAUUUAAAUUUUAUAAAAUUAUAUUUAAUUUUAUUUCAGAUCAAAAUGUUGUUUAUAAUUAUGAAGAAAUGGAUUACAAUAAAUUAAUUUAAAUGGAUAAUUUAUUGAAAAAUAAGUUUGAAAGUGGAUUUAAUAGUAAUUUUUAAUAAAUUUUAAGAAUGAUUAAAGCGCUAAAAUAUGUACAUAUCGCCCGUCGCUCUUAUUAUUUAAAUAAGAUAAGUCGUAACAAAGUAGAUGUACUGGAAAGUGUAUCUAGAAUGCA